rnacentral:lncRNA from 1 species
AUGGAAAACCACACAGCUUGUCUUCCUGCUGCAUCUCCUGGUGGGCUCAGCGGGCGGAGGAACCUGCCGGGUCGCGCCUCUGUUUCCAACCAUGACUCACACAUCGUCCGCCCUGAAGCCGGGGCGCGCCCUCCCGGGGUGCGGGAGGCGGUGCACGCAGCCAGGACCCAGGGCCCACCCAGGGCCGUACCACUCACGGCAACAGGGACCCGGGUGCCCGGGGUCUGUGCCCGUCGAGCGGCUCCAAGACGGGAAGAGGACGAGGCCCAGCGCAACCACCGCCCUGCGGCCCCCACGGGGUCCCUGGGGACCGCCGCACCCACCUGGGCCGCCCGGCUCACCCCGCCCAGCCUCCGCACCCGGCCCGGCCCCCAGCACACCCACCCGGCCCGGCCAGCCCCCGGGCGCGCCCCCCCCCGCCCGCCCCCAGCCCUCGGGGCGGACCGAACCCGCGCGGCACGUCCCCCCCCCCCCCCCCCCCCCCCGCCUGUCCCGGUCCGACCCGGGGCGGCCGCGCCUGCGCACCAGCGCCUCCCCCAGCUCCGCCGUGGCCCCCCUCCCCGGGCCGCACACGCGGCGCCCAGCCCACAGCCAGCGAGCCCCGCUGGGCUCCCGGGGCCGCCAAGGCAGGACAGCCCUGCAGGCGGCGGUGGGCGCGGCCCCUCCCGGAGCCGACGGGCAGGGCGAGGCAGGGCUCCGGUCGUCGUGCCGCCUUCCGAGGAUGUUGUCAGUGUGAACGCCCAGGUGACGUGGCCGAACCGACGGCUGCACGGGAGAAGGAGGCCGCCCCCCAGGAGCCGCGUCCCCGGAGACACCCGCCCCAGGAGACACCCCCCGGAGACGCCCCACCAGGAGCCGCCCCCACAAGCGGCCGAGGCCCCGGGGAGCCGCAGAGCCUCCCGACGGGACGCGCUGGACAGCGAGCGGGGCAGGGCCGCCCACCUCCGGCCACCCCCGGGAGGCCCGCAGACGGAGCCCAUGCACGGGAGGAGGGCACCGGACCCCGCGGACCAGCUCCCAGGCACCCCGGCUGCUUCUCCACUGGGAAACCCAGGGAUGCUACAGUGA